ACAUUCCUCGUUAGAAAGUGGUCUAUAACAAACACCAAGUUCAACCGACAUGAAAUAUGUUUACCUGUGUGUUUUGAUGAUGACUCUAAUGUUUAUUAUGAUUCAGGGAAAGGAGAAUGUGGGAACCAUCUUCAAAAAGAAAAUUUCCAGGAGAUGGGCUAAAAGAAGACAUGGAAUAUACGGCAUCAGCAAGAAACGUCUAUGUAAUCUGAGGAUUCCACGUCGAAGAUUCUGCAAACAAUGAAUUUUAUAAAUGUGAUCUCUUCAGAAGAAAUAAUUGGAUAUUUUUACACCCACCUUUUGAAUUAGCUAUAUGUUUUUAUCAGUUAAACUUUUGCCACAUUACCUAUUACUGUACGUAUUAAUCAAGCCAAAACGAUAUUUAAAGACGUUAUUAAUGUUUGCAGCGUUUGUAAAUUCAGUUUUUUUCCAAUAGAUAUUAUUAUGUGACGUUUAGUGUUUAGUAUCAUUUGGAUUACUAGCAUGUUCUGUAAAAACAAUGUUAUAUUUUACCUAUUGAUUGUUUAAGUUCUGAAGAACUUUUUAAGACAAUUGACAAUCGUGAUUGUUCUUACAAAAACACGGCUAUAUAUUGAAGUGCUUGAGACAAGUGACUUUACUUCGUUUUAUCCGUAUAAAACUUUAUAAAAAGCAGAGAGAACCCACCAUAAACAUUUUCUUCGACCAUUGUAUAUAUUGAGGCAUGUAUAAAUUUUUUAGAAUCCUUAAAUUAUAUAUCAGAUGAUAAAUUUACUCUUUUAUUUGAAAAUAAAUCCAUUCAAAC
rnacentral:sRNA from 1 species